GAGCUCGAUCGAUUUUGAGAUGAAAUGACAUCUAUGAUUAUCAACCUUUUAAAAACGCAUCUGCUUUCAAAGGAGAAUACAUAACAAAUGAUGCAAUACUGGUACAAACAGCUACCGGAUACAGCAGAUUUAUUGAAUGAAGGAAACCGAGAUGUUCAAAACAAGAAAAAAGGGCCAUUCCUUAAAAACACUUCUGUAGAAAUCAAGAAUUCUCGAAAACAAAAACGAGUUUCCAUGAGAGAAGCAAAAAAGACACCGACCACGGGUCAGUGAGUUUCCACUACGCGAUAUGCCAUCAGCGACGGUCUUUGCCGAUCGGGUUUUCUUUGACAUUUUGGAACAAAGUCAUCAGAUACAACACCAGAACCUUUUCAUUCAUUCACCAGAUUUCAAUGCAGGCAUUCCACUCUUUUGUGUGGAAAUAUCAAUAAUAUUAUCUUGAAGAUUUUGUUUCUCUGUUUUUUCGCAAUUGAAAUAAAAGAUCUAUUGGAAGAAA